AUACGGAGGGGGCGAGCGUUAUUCGGAAUCAUUGGGCGUAAAGGGCGCGUAGGCGGCCUGACAAGCCAGGGGUGAAAUCCCUCGGCUCAACCGAGGAACUGCCUCUGAAACUGUCAGGCUUGAGGCCGGGAGAGGGUAGUGGAAUUCCCAGUGUAGCGGUGAAAUGCGUAGAUAUUGGGAGGAACACCAGUGGCGAAGGCGGCUACCUGGACCGGUUCUGACGCUGAGGCGCGAAAGUGUGGGGAGCAAACAGGAUUAGAAACCCUUGUAGUCC
rnacentral:rRNA from 1 species